AGAGCGAACGCUGGCGGCGUGCUUAACACAUGCAAGUCGUACGCGCAGCAUUCUGUAGCAAUACAGGGUGUGGGCGCGUGGCGAACGGGUGCGUAACACGUGGAUAACCUUCCUUCAGGUGGGAAUAACCCAGUGAAAAUUGGGCUAAUACCGCAUAACAUGACGGUGGCAUAUGCUACUGUCCUCAAAGCCGCAAGGCGCCAGAAGAGGGAUCCGCGGCCGAUUAGCUUGUUGGCGAGGUAAUGGCCCACCAAGGCGAUGAUCGGUAU
rnacentral:rRNA from 1 species